UUGCCGCCGUGCGUGUCAUUUUAGGACUUUUUAUGCCUUGCGGGUAAUACUAAUGAUGGUCACAGGGAGGAUAAACGGGGUGGUUUCUUUUUCUAUACUCCAUGUAACUAAUUUCUCAUUCAGGUUAGAAAAUUAUAUGUCUGGUUACUAAUAUUCUUACUGAAUGGUUUCCUUGCAAUGAUGACACCAAAUAAUUAAAACGUACUUGAUUAAGACUUUUGUUGCUGUAGUGUACUAAGAUCAGAUUAAUCUGAGAAGUAAAAUAGUAAUUUUUUGUCCUUUUUUCUUUUCUUGUUUUGAGAGAGACAUUAAAAACGAUUAAAACAAAACAAAACAGGCCAGGUGCGGUGGCUCAUGCCUGUAAUGCCAGCACUUUGGGAGGCUGAGGCGGGUGGAUCGCUUGAGGCUGGGAGUUUGAGACCAGCCUGGCCAACAUGGCAAAAUCGUGUCUCUCCUAAAAAUACAAAAAUUAGCUGGGUGUUGUGGCACGUGCCAGUAAUCCCAGCUACUCAGAAGGCUGAGGCAGGAGAAUCGUUUGAACCUGGGAGGAGGAGGUUGCAGUGAGCUGAGAUCUCACCACUGCACUGCAGUCUGGGUGACAGCAAAACUCUGCCUCAAAAAAAAAAAAGGUUUAACAAAAGCCAAAAGUUGAAUUAGCAGCCUUCUGAUCAUGGGAAUGUAGGAUGUCAACUAAAAAGAACCUCAGAGGUUGGGAAGGCAGAUGAAAAACUGAGGCCCCGAAGUGUUUCAAGACUUGAUUAAAUCACUCAGGUCUGCACUAGGAAGCGAGUUAUGAUGAUGCCCCUAAUCUAUAUGAACCCAAAUAAAGCCAAAACACACACACCUUUUAAGGAUAAAACUAUAUUCCAUUAAAAUUAGCCCCGCAUUUGUCAAUAUCUAACAGCAUUGGACUGACCCUCAGGCCAGAGGCUGUAGCUCUUGGAAGAUCCUAGCCAGGAGGUUUGAGAGUGGCCAGUACCUCGGAAGUGCUGGCUCACUCUGACAUCAUCAGAACCUGGCAUACAGUAGGCGCUCAUUGGGUAUUUGCUAUGGAAAUUAGGCAGGAAAGUGCGUCUGUGUCUGGAAACAAAGAGGCAAAGCUUAAGCAGUGAUCCCCAUGCAGAUUCUUUCUGCAAACUACAAAACAGAAGCUUCCCUAGUUCAGACUGCCAUCCAUCUGGCUCUUUCUCCAAUUGUUUUUCAGCGGAUCCUGUUACAGUGCAAAGAAGAAAUGGCAAACGGAUAACAGCUACUGUGCCUAGAAGAUGGUUCUGCCCUGAUGUUUCCUGGAAUAAUGCUGAGGACUGCCUUUCGGGUAGCCGCCCUAUUCAGUUCACUUCAUCUCGGAAAUACCUGACCCCUGCCUUGGAUCCAGCGGCCCUCCUGAGAGCUGAGGAAGGAGGAAAUCCUAUGUGUCUGCUCCCGGAGCUGCCACAACCCAUCUUCCCACAACUCGGAACUUGGAAAAAGGAACCCAGGACACGACUUUGCUUUUCUUUUGGACCUAGUUGAUACAAGUUAACAGGAUAUGCUUCUGGCCUGUUUCUGGAUUCUAAGGGUAGAACCAGCAUAAAACUAGUCAGUCCAAGUAUUUCUAAAGAUCCACAGACACAGUUCUCCUGGAUUUGGGAAGCCUAGAGAUAUUAGCACAAUAAUUAAGGCCCAACAACUUUUAAAAGCCUUUCCACUGCACAGUGAAAGAAAACCACAAACUCCUUGUUUAAUAAGUGGGAUCACGUGCUUUUAACACGAGGAAAAGGUCAAUCUGAAGCAACUGAUAUGGAACUGCCAGAGUAGGAGUUGAAAAUCUUCCUAAACUGCUGGAGGAUACACCUCUGAUAGCUUGAGACAAAUAUCCUCUUGAUCAUUGUUUCACCAUAUUUGUCUUUGCUCAUGGAGAACCAUUUUGAUCCGUGGUUUAGCCUCCCAGGUGAUUGAACAAUACCGGUGAUCUGAGGCAGACCCUCUGUGACGGAUAACAGAAAAGAAAAUUGAGGAUCAGAAAAUACGCACAAUUUGCAAAAACCAUGGGAAAGAAUAUUGAUUGAACAUCUACUCAAGAACUGCAAAACAGAGAUUACCUGACCUAAAGCAUUUAUAUUGCCAAUCAUGUUGGAGAGUCCAUGUGGUGAUUUCUGAAAACGAGAUGUGAGAAAGAAGAGGAUAAUUUAAGUCUAGACCUACAGAUUGUGCUGAUAAAGUGAUGAAGAACUACAAUCUUCUUAGUCAUUUCAUUGUAUAAGUGCAAUAAAGGUGUGAGAACAGAGGAGAAGCCUGGUUUGAGUGAGUUUUUCCUGAAGCAAAA
rnacentral:lncRNA from 1 species